rnacentral:rRNA from 1 species
CAGUCGCCGCGGUAAUACGAAGGGGGCUAGCGUUGCUCGGAAUGACUGGGCGUAAAGGGCGCGUAGGCGGCGAUCAAAGUCAGGCGUGAAAUUCCUGGGCUCAACCUGGGAAUGGCGCUUGUGACUGCAAAGCUAGAGUGCGGCAGAGGGGGAUGGAAUUCCGCGUGUAGCAGUGAAAUGCGUAGAUAUGCGGAGGAACACCGAUGGCGAAGGCAAUCCCCUGGGCCUGCACUGACGCUCAUGCACGAAAGCGUGGGGAGCAAACAGGAUUAGAUACCCGGGUAGUCCCUGUCUCUUAUAC